UGCUAAGCCAUGGACACGGACUGAUAA
rnacentral:piRNA from 1 species